rnacentral:tRNA from 1 species
GGGGAAUUAGCUCAGUGGUAGAGCACUUGCCUAGGAAGCGCAAGGCCCUGGGUUCAGUCCCCAGCUCCG